UUCACCAUAAAAGUAGGGGUUUAUUUUUGGACUUUCAAUUCUGUUCCAUUGUCUCUAUACCUAGCCUUAAGCCAGUACCAUACUGUCUUGAUUACUACAGUUUUGUAGUAAUUUUUGAAAUUGGGACGUGUAAGUCUUCCAAUUUAGUUCUUUUAUUGGGUAGUUUUGGCAAUCUGAGGCCUCUUGCAAUUCCGUAUGAAUUUUAGGAUCAGACUUUCCAUUUUUUUGAGACGGAGUCUUGCUCUGUUGCCCAGGCAGUGGUGUGAUCUUGGCUCACUGCAACCUCCUCCUCCCAGUUUCAAGCAAUUUUCCUGCCUCAGCCUCCUGAGUAGCUGGGAUUACAGGCACCCGCCACCACGCCUGGCUAAUUUUUUUUUUUUUGUAUUUUUUAGUAGAGACGGUGUUUCAUCGUGUUGGCCAGGCUUGUCUUAAAUUCCUGACCUCAGGAGAUCCACUAGCCUUGGCCUCCCAAAGUGCUGGGAUUAUAGGCGUGUGUUGCUGUGCCUGGCCUGUUAUGUGUAUUUUAUUACAAUAAAAAAUUGGGGAAAACAUUUUCAAAGGGCAGUGUAAAAAUAAAUAGUUUAUGUGUGUAGCUCUUUUUUCUCCUACCUGAUUUAAAAGACAACUGCAGAGAGUGAUGAUUAGACAUCUGUGCUGGUAGUCAAAUGAUGUGUAAACAUUUAAAUUAUAUGACAGUGAUAGCACAGAGGAGGAGGAGGGAACAGAGCUAUAUAUGCGCAAAGUUUUUGUAUACCAUUGACAUUAAAUUAUAAUUAAUUUUCCUCACUGCUUGGAGGAAGAUGAGAAUUCUCAGAGGUCCUUAUGCUGCCCUUUUUGCUGCAGUCUUGACAUCUUAACGUGGAUAGAAAAAG
rnacentral:lncRNA from 1 species